rnacentral:rRNA from 1 species
AUACGUAGGGGGCGAGCGUUGUCCGGAAUGAUUGGGCGUAAAGGGCGCGUAGGCGGCCUGUUAAGUCUGGAGUGAAAGUCCUGUUUUCAAGAUGGGAAUUGCUUUGGAUACUGAUGGGCUUGAGUGCAGGAGAGGUUAUCGGAAUUCCCGGUGUAGCGGAUAAAUGCGUAGAGAUCGGGAGGAACACCAGUGGCGAAGGCGGGUAACUGGACUGCAACUGACGCUGAGGCGCGAAAGUGUGGGGAGCAAACAGGAUUAGAUACCCUGGUAGUCCACACUGUAAACGAUGAAUGCUAGGUGUAAGAGGUAUCGACCCCUUUUGUGCCGGAGUUAACACAAUAAGCAUUCCGCCUGGGGAGUACGGCCGCAAGGUUGAAACUCAAAUGAAUUGGCGGGG